UAAAGAGCGUGUCAGUGUCCAUCAGUCCGUCUGGUGAAAUAGUGUCAGGAGAUUCAGUGACUCUGAACUGCAGCAGUGAUUCAAACCCUCCUGCUCUGAACUUCAGCUGGUUUAAGGAGAAUGAAACCUCAGCUGUUGGAUCUGGACAGACUUUCAGCAUCUCCAGCUUUAGCUCCAGUUUCAGUGGACGCUUCUACUGUGAGGCUCAGAAUAAAUAUGGAUCUCAGAGAUCAGCGUCUGUUUCUCUCACUGUUAAAGGGGUUCAGAGAGCUGCUCUGCACACAGUUUCUGGGAUCGUGGCGGGAUGUGGAGGAUUGAUCUUCAUCAUCAUCAUCAUCAUCAUCAUCAUUGUGUUCAUAAAGAGGAAGAAGAGGAGAGAAGGUGGAUCUGAAGACAGGAAUCAAAAGCAGGCGAGUCGACAAACACACUCCUCCAUCUACAACUGAAACACAGUGUGAUUGUAUUGUUGUAUUGAACUAUGAAUACAAUAGUGUACAUGAAGCAAUAUAAGUGCAGAAAUCUCUCUCUAUAGACGGCUGACGCGAGUGACGAUACAUACACAGCUCUGGAUCCAGCGUCCAGAACAUCUGCUGACAUUUACAGCACAAUCACAUCUGUUCAGUCCAGAGCUCCUGAUGACACCUACACGGCUCUUGAGCUUCAGUCCAGAUCUUCUGAAUAUGAGACUCUAGCAGUGACUUCAGCAGAUCCACAUUAAACUCUCCUCACUGUAUUACUGCUAAUAUGAAACAACUGAAGCUCCUCAGAAACUGCCCAUCAUUAUCAGCUCAUGAACAUCAUUUCAUCAUCAAUAACAUUAUGAUUUAUUAAACUGUGUAUAUUGUAAUUGAGCUUAUAAGAGUUUGCAGAAUAUUUUUUUCUAUUAGUCUUGUAAAUCUAUAUUUUAGCCUGCAUGUCAUAUUUUAUGUUUGUGCUUCAUAAGCAAAUGCAUUUUAGGAGAAAACUUGUGCAAUUCAAACAUUUAAAGUAAUCAUCAUAACUUGUAGUCAGGGGCGUAAAUCGCGGGGGGGACGGGGGGGCAUGACCCCCCCUAUCUGAGUGCUGUCCCCCCCAAAAAAUAUAAUUAAAAACCACUCUAAGUAUUGUAAAUAAAUGAUAUAUCCUUAAAAUAAUUGUGUAAGAAGUAAAGCAAUACAAACGCAAACAGGCGUUUUAAGUUUAGAAACAUUUUGAGUGACCCCUCCCUUGCCUCACAGUGGUUUGGUCCACCGCGCACGUCACACUCGUGCGUGUAGAAAUCGGGCGGCGCCGGCGGGAGAGAAGACAGACAGUAGUUGAGAGGAGCUCUAGUUAGUAGGCUGUUAAGGCUAUUUUAUUCAAAAACAUCGGAUGAAGUGGUUAUUUUUGCUUUAAUGCUGACGACGCUGAGUAAUUAGUCAUAACAAAAAAAGCAAGAUGAUAACAUGAUUUUUUCCCCCCGUGAGUCCGCUAUUUUAGCGAUUAUAAUGUUACCUAGCGUUUGGUAGCUUGUUUACAAUAGCUUGUUGGAUACUAUGUCACCCACACCAACAACAAUUAACAGUGUGAUAAGAAUAUGUGAACUCUAAUAAGGCUAGUAGAUUUACUGUUGUGUGUUGGGUUUUGCUCAAAGUGUAUUCAUCGUAUUUUGGUGACUUGGUUGUAAACAACUUCAAAAAUAUUCCAAUAAAUAAAUGAUUUUGAAUAUUUUG